GACGAACGCUGGCGGCGUGCUUAACACAUGCAAGUCGAACGGAAAGGCCCUGCUUUUGUGCGGUGCUCGAGUGGGGAACGGGUGAGUAACACGUGAGUAACCUGCCCUUGACUUUGGUAUAACUUCAGGUAACUGGGGCUAAUACCGGAUAGGAGCUCCUGCUCCAUGGUGGGCGUUGGAAAGUUUCGGCGGUUGGGGAUGGACUCGCGGCUUAUCAGCUUGGUGGUGGGGUAGUGGCUUACCAAGGCUUUGACGGGUAGCCGGCCUGAGAGGGUGACCGGCCACAUUGGGACUGAGAUACGGCCCAGACUCCUACGGGAGGCAGCAGUGGGGAAUAUUGCACAAUGGGCGGAAGCCUGAUGCAGCAACGCCGCGUGCGGGAUGACGGCCUUCGGGUUGUAAACCGCUUUCGCCUGUGACGAAGCGUGAGUGACGGUAAUGGGUAAAGAAGCACCGGCUAACUACGUG
rnacentral:rRNA from 1 species